rnacentral:rRNA from 1 species
UACGGAGGGUGCGAGCGUUGUUCGGAUUUACUGGGCGUAAAGGGCGCGCAGGCGGCUCAUUUUGUCAGGCGUGAAAGCCCCGGGCUUAACCUGGGAACUGCGUUUGAUACGGAUGGGCUAGAGUUCGGGAGAGGAGAGUGGAAUUCCCAGUGUAGAGGUGAAAUUCGUAGAUAUUGGGAAGAACACCGGUGGCGAAGGCGGCUCUCUGGACCGAUACUGACGCUGAGGCGCGAAAGCGUGGGGAGCAAACAGG